GCAAGUACUAACUUUGCAGAGGGUCACGUUGGCGGCCGACAACGUGACAUCGGAAGUUAGUACGCGUUACAUUUCAUUACUUUCGCUUGAUUAGCUGGUUUACAUCCUCAAUGAGGAUUCGAUAGUAUAGGGUUUAUUGACCUAUGUUUGUUUUUGUGCUGCAGCUUAAGAUGCCGUUGACUCGUUCGCAAGCCGCCGGGGCAGCUGAGGCGGCGGAUGCAGAGGAAGUGGGGACUUCUGUUACUUC
rnacentral:lncRNA from 1 species